rnacentral:rRNA from 1 species
CACGCUGUAAACGAUCAAUACUAGGUGUGCGGGGACUGACCCCCUGCGUGCCGCAGUUAACACAAUAAGUAUUGCACCUGGGGAGUACGAUCGCAAGGUUGAAACUCAAAGGAAUUGACGGGGGCCCGCACAAGCGGUGGAUUAUGUGGUUUAAUUCGAAGCAACGCGAAGAACCUUACCAGGUCUUGACAUCCCAGUGACCACUCUAGAGAUAGAGUUUUCCCUUCGGGGACAUUGGUGACAGGUGG